CGCCAAAUUGGGAAGGCCCGUAUAGGGUUCGCUGGGUAAACCGACCUGGCUCCUACCAGUUGGAGACCCUAGAUGGUCGAGAAAUUCCGAGGAGCUGGAAUUCCGCUAACCUGCGGGUGUAUCACCAGUAGAGCGACAAAGCCAGGAAGACAGUUCGAAAAAUGUACAAUUCUUUUCAUUUCAAUAAUUCCUGGUUACAACGGUGUGUUCGUGUGAUUACAAAGAAUUCCCAAAGGGGAAUUGGGGAGUAAAGAAAACAAGGAAGAGGUGGAGACUCCGUGGAGCUGAAGAUCUGGGACCCCGAACCCUCCAUCCGAAGCAGCUGCAAUCCCACCGGGCGUGGGUGCUUCUCCCCGG
rnacentral:lncRNA from 1 species